rnacentral:rRNA from 1 species
GGUCGGCGUGCCUAACACGAUGCAAGUCGAGCGGGGAUAGGGCUUCGGUCCUAUUCUAGCGGCGGACGGGUGAGUAACGCGUGAACAAUCUGUCCUAUACAGGGGGAUAACACUUGGAAACAGGUGCUAAUACCGCAUAAGCCCACGGCCCGGCAUCGGGCAGGGGGAAAAGGGGCAACUCGGUAUAGGGUGAGUUCGCGUCCCAUUAGCUAGUUGGCCGGGUAAAAGCCCACCAAGGCGACGAUGGGUAGCCGACCUGAGAGGGUGAUCGGCCACACUGGAACUGAGAAACGGUCCAGACUCCUACGGGAGGCAGCAGUGGGGAAUAUUGGGCAAUGGGGGGAAAAACCCCCUGACCCAGCAACGCCGCGUGAGGGAAGAAGGCUUUCGGGUCGUAAACCUCUGUCCCAUGGGAAGAGAUAGAGACGGUACCAUGGGAGGAACGCCCCGGCUAACUACGUGCCAGCCGCCGC